CUUAGCGCGGCGGGCGCAGACUGAGCUGGACCAGUGGGCGAUGCCGGAUUGAAAGCAGGGCAUGGGGGGGCUUUAGGGGCAGGGGGGCGAGUACUCCGCGCGACCGCUGUUCUGGAGCUGAGCCACGAAGCAGCCACCUACCGGCGUCUUCUCAGCUUCCUCGGUGUUUUCUAGGACGUUCCAAUGCUGCCAGGGGGCGCAGGCCUGAAGCAGGGCCACAGGAGAGUGGGGAAAGGGCGGAACUCGGGUUCCCCCCUCCACGUGUCCCUACCCGGGUCUGCUCCCUGAGCCCUGUCGUGUAAUAACACCCACCACAAUGUUGUCUCUCCAACUGACGACCGACGCCCCCAGUCCUUGCCCAGCCUUGAAGGACUCACUGAGGUCGAAGACCAGCGGGUUGCAUUGGCCGCCCUCGGCCUUCCAGGGGCACAGGAAAACGCCGCCCGUCUUCUCCUGGCUGCGGCCCUCGGCCCUUGGGGCACCCACCACGAUGGACACGCUGCAUAAGAAAGCGGGGCAUGCGGCAUGCUUAUUAAGUCAUUCCCAAAACCAGUAUCUGUGGAAAAGAGGUGAAAGAAGCAGGAGUGGGCAGAGGAGAGAGUCAAGUUGAGAUUCAGGCCCAAUGACAGCCAUGGGCCAAUGGCCUGGGAACUCUGGAGCUAAAAAGACCCUUCAGAACUGUCCUGAGGUCCCCAGUGGUGCCCCUCGCUGAUACCCUCACCUGAGCUGAUCCCUCCCCAGAAUUCCUAACAAGAACUCAGCAGGAAUAGAUCCUAGAAGUCACUUUGCUCAACCUCUAUCACAAGGGGAACUUGAGACCCACAAAGGCAGUGAUGGUGGGGGAGUUCCUCCAGGGCUCACCUCCCAU